GAUUGACCAGUCUUUGAAGACUGUUACUUUGAAAGUAACUAAUAUUAGUAUAAAACCUAAUGUCAAUUU
rnacentral:tRNA from 1 species